AUUGAACGCUGGCGGCAGGCCUAACACAUGCAAGUCGAGCGAGCGGCGGACGGGUGAGUAAUGUCUGGGAAACUGCCUGAUGGAGGGGGAUCACUACUGGAAACGGUAGCUAAUACCGCAUACCAUCAGAUGUGCCCAGAUGGGAUUAGCUAGUAGGUGGGGUAACGGCUCACAAAGGCGACGAUCCACAGCCGGUCUGAGCGGUUGACCAGACACACUGGAACUGAGACACGGUCCAGACUCCUACGGGAGGCAGCAGUGGGGAAUAUUGGACAAUGGGCGCAAGCCUGAUGCAGCAAUGCCGCGUGUGUGAAGAAGGCCUUCGGGUUGUAAAGCACUGUCAGCGGGGAGGCGUUACCCGAAGAAGAAGCAACGGCUAACUCCGUGCCAGCAGCCGCGGUAAUAC
rnacentral:rRNA from 1 species